GCCCCGCUGGUGUACCUGGUAUAGCACGCCCUGGCUACGUGCACUUUCAGUUCCCAUGUUUACUAUCAGGGAGGAGCUCGUUCGAUUCGGGCGCGGGGCA